rnacentral:rRNA from 1 species
UUCCUACGGGGGGCAGCAGUGGGGAAUAUUGCACAAUGGGGGAAACCCUGAUCCAGCGAUGCCGGGUGAGGGAAGAAGGUUUUCGGAUUGUAAACCUCUGUGGAGGGGGACGAUAAUGACGGUACCCCUUUAGGAAGCCACGGCUAACUACGUGCCAGCAGACGCGGGAAUACGUAGGUGGCGAGCGUUGUCCGGAAUUACUGGGUGUAAAGGGAGUGCAGGCGGGGAAGGAAGUCAGA